GUAGUCAUAUGCUUGUCUCAAAGAUUAAGCCAUGCAUGUCUAAGUAUAAGCAAUCUAUACCGUGAAACUGCGAAUGGCUCAUUAAAUCAGUUAUCGUUUAUUUGAUAGUACCUUACUACUUGGAUAACCGUGGUAAUUCUAGAGCUAAUACAUGCUAAAAACCCCGACUUCGGAAGGGGUGUAUUUAUUAGAUAAAAAACCAAUGCCCUUCGGGGCUCCUUGGUGAUUCAUAAUAACUUAACGAAUCGCAUGGCCUUGUGCCGGCGAUGGUUCAUUCAAAUUUCUGCCCUAUCAACUUUCGAUGGUAUGGUCUUGGCUUACCAUGGUUUCAACGGGUAACGGGGAAUUAGGGUUCUAUUCCGGAGAGGGAGCCUGAGAAACGGCUACCACAUCCAAGGAAGGCAGCAGGCGCGCAAAUUACCCAAUCCCGACACGGGGAGGUAGUGACAAUAAAUACUGAUACAGGGCUCUUUUGGGUCUUGUAAUUGGAAUGAGUACAAUUUAAAUCCCUUAACGAGGAACAAUUGGAGGGCAAGUCUGGUCCAGCAGCCGCGGUAAUUCCAGCUCCAAUAGCGUAUAUUAAAGUUGUUGCAGUUAAAAAGCUCGUAGUUGAACCUUGGGCCUGGUUGGCCGGUCCGCCUCACCGCGUGCACUGGUCCGACCGGGUCUUUCCUUCUGAGGAGCCGCAUGCCCUUCACUGGGUGUGUCGGGGAAUCAGGACUUUUACUUUGAAAAAAUUAGAGUGUUCAAAGCAGGCCUAUGCUCGAAUACAUUAGCAUGGAAUAAUAGAAUAGGACGUGUGGUUCUAUUUUGUUGGUUUCUAGGACCGCCGUAAUGAUUAAUAGGGAUAGUCGGGGGCAUCAGUAUUCAAUUGUCAGAGGUGAAAUUCUUGGAUUUAUUGAAGACUAACUACUGCGAAAGCAUUUGCCAAGGAUGUUUUCAUUAAUCAGUGAACGAAAGUUAGGGGAUCGAAGACGAUCAGAUACCGUCGUAGUCUUAACCAUAAACUAUGCCGACUAGGGAUCGGGCGAUGUUAUCUUUUUGACUCGCUCGGCACCUUACGAGAAAUCAAAGU
rnacentral:rRNA from 2 species